CGCGAGCCACGGAGCUAAAAACGAGAAUGGCGGGAAAAGAGGAAUUUCAGUCCAAGCAGAGCUCAACGCGCUCGUCUUCUCUAUCCAAAGAACAAAUCGGUGAAUCCCAGCAGGAGGAGGCAUGCUGGAGAAAACAAGUGGACCAGAAUCUGAAGAGGCUUCAAUCGCUCCUCUUCGGCGUCGAUUUGGCCCUCGAAAAAGGCGAUUACUCUGCGGCUCAACUUCUUGGUCUCCGUCUUCUUGGAUUUCUCGACUCUCAGACUCGUACCGAUGUUGAUCAAGCUUUUAUCCAGCCCAUUAGGCGCGAAGUCGUUGAGAAAAUUAAUGUCGCUCGCCGAUCCCUCAUGCCGGAAUCCGAUCGACAAGUAUUUGAACAAGCAAAGAAAGCUCCGGGAUGCGUUUUUAGCAUGAGCAAAGAAAUGGAUUUCAGCAAGAUUAAGCAGUCGAAACACUUUCAGGCCCUUCAGGGAUCAAAUAGAACAGUUGUAAAUGAAUUGGAUUCGCUGGAGAGGGCGGAUAAGUUCAGUACCAAGGCACCAAAAAUCACUGCAGAAGCAAAGGGUACAUCCUUGUAUAGAAAAGAUCAAAGCAGAACAAGUCCUAGUCUGUACAGGAGUUCUUUGAAUGCAAGUAAUGCCCUUGAUGACUGUAUUAUUGUAGAAAAGAAUCCUUCACUUUAUGAUCAUACAAAAGACCAAGGUACAUCUUUAAUGAAAUUUGAAGAGGAAGGGCGGACUUAUGGAAGUAUGGUUGCUACAAGACGUGCUCGGAUGGAAAUCAGUAGUCCUAAGGUAGACAAUGCCAACUCACCAUUGAGUACCGAAGAAGCUAAUGCUGAUUCUUCUGGCAAUGCAUUUGUCACUGCAAGAACAAAACUGGAAAUGGAUGCAAGGCAAAGACGAGGACUUGCAGGAUCACCAAAUACUUCUGUCUCCCCUCAGAGUGAUAAUAAUGUUUCCCAUAAAGGAUAUGGAAUGCGAUCCUAUGGCUCUUCACGCCGUGGAGUGCGUGGGAAUUUUGUACCUCCUAUUAGGUCUAAUGGGGGGAAUGCUGGGAACAUGGUAAAUUCACGUGUUGGUGGAAAAGGUGAAGAUGCUCUGGAUGACUCAACAAAGAGAUGUUUGGAUAUGUUGUGCGGACCUGAUGGUGAACUUCCUGAAAAAUUAAGGAAUUUGGAGCCUCGACUUAUAGAACAUAUUAGCAAUGAGAUUAUGGACAGGGACCCUAAUGUUAGGUGGGACGACAUAGCUGGUCUAGAACAUGCAAAAAAGUGUGUAACUGAAAUGGUAAUAUGGCCUUUAUUACGUCCCGACAUUUUCAAAGGUUGCCGUUCUCCUGGAAGAGGUCUCCUUCUUUUUGGUCCACCGGGAACAGGCAAAACAAUGAUCGGAAAAGCAAUUGCUGGAGAGGCAAAAGCAACUUUCUUUUAUAUAUCUGCCAGCUCAUUAACAAGCAAGUGGAUUGGCGAGGGUGAAAAGCUAGUGAGGGCCCUCUUUGGUGUUGCCAGUUGUCGUCAGCCGGCUGUCAUCUUUGUUGAUGAAAUUGAUUCUCUUCUGUCUCAGCGAAAAUCUGAAGGUGAACAUGAAUCAAGUAGACGACUCAAAACACAGUUCCUUAUUGAAAUGGAGGGCUUUGAUAAUGGCAGCGAGCAAAUUCUUCUUAUAGGAGCGACUAAUCGACCACAAGAACUUGAUGAAGCUGCAAGGAGACGACUGACCAAAAGACUUUACAUUCCCCUCCCUUCUUCAGAAGCAAGAGCAUGGAUUGUGCGUAAUCUCCUGGAGAAGGAUGGGUUGUUCAAGCUUUCUAAAGAGGAAAUUGAUACGAUAUGUACUUUAUCUGAAGGAUAUUCGGGUUCAGACAUGAAAAACCUUGUGAAAGACGCUUCAAUGGGCCCUUUAAGGGAGGCUCUGAAACAAGGCACAGAUAUUACAUUGCUUAAAAAGGAAGAUAUGCGGCCUGUAACCCUUAAGGACUUUGAGAACGCAAUGCAAGAGGUCAGGCCCUCUGUUUCUUUAAGCGAACUUGGUACGUAUGAUGAAUGGAACAAGCAAUUUGGGAGCUUAUCACUAUGAAGUUUUUUACUUAACAAUGACAUAGAAGGUAAGCCGGUGGGCUGAGCGUGGACUAAAUGACAAGCGGGAUUUAAAGCAAUUGUCACUGUCUUCCAUUUUGAGAUCUGGAAGAAUGCCUUACACCCCAUGUGUGCAACAUUUAGAUAUUUAUUUCGUUUAUGUGGAAUUUUCAGGUAUAUCCAGAACCUUGAGAAAUCAAUAAACGGGUUUGGUUUCGGGUUUGAGUUGUACGAUAAUGAAGUUAUCUUGGAUUGGAUCCUCGUAAGAUCUAUUUGUGGCAAGUUGAUUUCUUCAUUUUCAUUUUAUUUUAAGAAAGAAAUCGAGUUUUCAUUUGAUUCCGUUCCCAUUUUGUGGAACAUUUGACUUGAUGGGAAAGAUAUUGAAAAAAAUUUCUAUCGUGGAGGAGGCUUGAGAUAUUGUAUACUUAAACACCUUUGUAGUUCAUAUUUCUAACCUUUUCUGUAGUUUUUCUUUUUUAUUCAUUCCAAUAGUGGGAUUGCUAUUUGGUUUACUUGUAAUCUCUUUUGUGGAUAUUCUGUAAGAAUUAUGCCCAAGGACCUAUUUUCAAGAUUAUCUUUCACAAAGGUUAAUAUUCACGACAUUUACAUA